GUAUGAAUCUAUAUGUAGUGAGCUCACCCUAGUGGUGAUGAGGUCAAUAGGAGCUGUAUAAAUCUAUAUGUAGUGAGCUCGCCCUAGUGAUAAUGAGGUCAAUGGGAGCUGUAUAAAUCUAUAUGUAGUGAGCUCGCCCUAGUGGUGAUGAGGUCAAUGGGAGCUGUAUGAAUCUAUAUGUAGUGAGCUCGCCCUAGUGGUGAUGAGGUCAAUGGGAGCUGUUUAAAUCUAUAUGUAGUGAGCUCGCCCUAGUGGUGAUGAGAUCAAUGGGAGCUGUAUGAAUCUAUAUGUAGUGAGCUUUCCCUAGUGGUGAUGUCAAUGGGAGCUGUAUAAAUCUAUAUGUAGUGAGCUCGCCCUAGUGAUGAUGAGGUCAAUGGGAGCUGUAUAAAUCUAUAUGUAGUGAGCUCGCCCUAGUGAUGAUGAGGUCAAUAGGAGCUGUAUGGAUCUAUAUGUAGUGAGCUCGCCCUAGUGCUGAUGAGGUCAAUGGGAGCUGUAUAAAUCU